rnacentral:rRNA from 1 species
AGUGAACGCUGGCGGUAGGCCCAACACAUGCAAGUCGAACGGCAGCACAGGAGAGCUUGCUCUCUGGGUGGCGAGUGGCGGACGGGUGGGGAAUACAUCGGAAUCUACUUUUUCGUGGGGGAUAACGUAGGGAAACUUACGCUAAUACCGCAUACGACCUACGGGUGAAAGCAGGGGAUCUUCGGACCUUGCGCGAUUGAAUGAGCCGAUGUCGGAUUAGCUAGUUGGCGGGGUAAAGGCCCACCAAGGCGACGAUCCGUAGCUGGUCUGAGAGGAUGAUCAGCCAAACUGGAACUGAGAAACGGACCAGACUCGUACGGGAGGCAGCAGGGGGGAAUAUUGGACAAUGGGCGCAAGCCUGAUCCAGCCAUACCGCGUGGGUGAAGAAGGCCUUCGGGUUGUAAAGCCCUUUUGUUGGGAAAGAAAUCCAGCUGGCUAUACCCGGUUGGGAUGACGGUACCCAAAGAAUAAGCACCGGCUAACUUCGUGCCAGCCGCCGCCGUAA